GGGGGGAUGGCGCAGUUGGAAUGCAUUGCUCCUGGAAACACUUGCUGUGGCUCAGCAGGUCGUCGGUUCGAAUUCGGCUCCCUCCA